UACGAAGGGGGCUAGCGUUGCUCGGAAUCACUGGGCGUAAAGGGUGCGUAGGCGGGUCUUUAAGUCAGGGGUGAAAUCCUGGAGCUCAACUCCAGAACUGCCUUUGAUACUGAAGAUCUUGAGUUCGGGAGAGGUGAGUGGAACUGCGAGUGUAGAGGUGAAAUUCGUAGAUAUUCGCAAGAACACCAGUGGCGAAGGCGGCUCACUGGCCCGAUACUGACGCUGAGGCACGAAAGCGAUGGG
rnacentral:rRNA from 1 species